rnacentral:rRNA from 1 species
ACUCCUACGGGAGGCAGCAGUGGGAAUAUUGCACAAUGGGCGCAAGCCUGAUGCAGCCAUGCCGCGUGUGUGAAGAAGGCCUUCGGGUUGUAAAGCACUUUCAGUUGUGAGGAAGGUGGUGUCGUUAAUAGCGGCAUCAUUGACGUAUCCUACAGAAGAAGCACCGGCUAACUCCGUGCCAGCAGCCGCGGUAAUACGGAGGGUGCGAGCGUUAAUCGGAAUUACUGGGCGUAAAGCGCAUGCAGGUGGUUUGUUAAGUCAGAUGUGAAAGCCCGGGGCUCAACCUCGGAAUUGCAUUUGAAACUGGCAGACUAGAGUACUGUAGAGGGGGGUAGAAUUUCAGGUGUAGCGGUGAAAUGCGUAGAGAUCUGAAGGAAUACCGGUGGCGAAGGCGGCCCCCUGGACAGAUACUGACACUCAGAUGCGAAAGCGUGGGAGCAAACAGGAUUAGAUACCCUGGUAGGUGA